rnacentral:rRNA from 1 species
AGUCGAACGAGGGUAGAAAUACCCGAGUGGCGGACGGGUGAGUAACGCGUGAACAAUCUGCCCGUAUCUGGGGAAUAACACAGAGAAAUUUGUGCUAAUACCGCAUAAGACCACGGAGAGGCAUCUCUCUGAGGUAAAAGAUUUAUCGGAUACGGAUGAGUUCGCGUCCCAUUAGGUAGUUGGUGAGGUAACGGCUCACCAAGCCGACGAUGGGUAGCCGACCUGAGAGGGUGAUCGGCCACAUUGGAACUGAGAGACGGUCCAGACUCCUACGGGAGGCAGCAGUGGGGAAUAUUGGGCAAUGGAGGGAACUCUGACCCAGCAAUGCCGCGUGAGUGAAGAAGGUUUUCGGAUUGUAAAGCUCUUUAAGUGGGGAAGAAGACAGUGACGGUACCCACAGAAUAAGCAUCGGCUAACUACGUGCCAGCAGCCGCGGUAAUACGUAGGAUGCAAGCGUUAUCCGGAAUGACUGGGCGUAAAGGGUGCGUAGGCGGUUUACCAAGUUGGUAGCGUAAUGCCGGGGCUCAACCCCGGAACUACUACCAAAACUGGCAGGCUUGAGUGCGGCAGGGGUAUGUGGAAUUCCUAGUGUAGCGGUGGAAUGCGUAGAUAUUAGGAGGAACACCGGAGGCGAAAGCGACAUACUGGGCCGUAACUGACGCUGAGGCACGAAAGCGUGGGGAGCAAACAGGAUUAGAUACCCUGGUAGUCCACGCCGUAAACGAUGAAUACUAGGUGUAGGUGGUAUCGACUCCAUCUGUGCCGACGCAAACGCAUUAAGUAUUCCGCCUGGGGACUACGGCCGCAAGGUUGAAACUCAAAGAAAUUGACGGGGACCCGCACAAGCAGCGGAGCAUGGGGUUUAAUUCGAAGCAACGCGAAAAACCUUACCAGAACUUGACAUCGAGUGACAGACUCUGUAAUGGAGUUUUCCCUUCGGGGACACGAAGACAGGUGUUGCAUGGUUGUCGUCAGCUCGUGUCGUGAGAUGUUAGGUUAAGUCCUGCAACGAGCGCAACCCUCGUAUACAGUUGCCAAUAUUCAGUUAGGAACUCUGUAUAGACCGCCGUGGUUAACACGGAGGAAGGUGGGGAUGACGUCAAAUCAUCACGGCCCUUACGUUCUGGGCCACACCCGUGCUACAAUGGCUAUUACAAAGAGCAGCGAAACGGUAACGUGGAGCGAAUCUCAUAAAGAUAGUCUCAGUUCAGAUUGUGGGCUGCAACCCGCCCACAUGAAGUAGGAGUUGCUAGUAAUCCCGAAUCAGCAUGUCGGGGUGAAUGCGUUCCCGGGUCUUGUACACACCGCCCGUCACGCCAUGGGAGUUGGGAGUGCCCAAAGUCAGUGUCCUAACCGCAAGGGGGGAGCUGC